GGGGGCCAGCGUUGCUCGGAAUUGCUGGGCGUAAAGGGUCCGUAGGCGGUGUGGCAAGUCGGAAGUGAAAUCCACUGGCUUAACCGGUGGCUUGCUUUCGAUACGGGCAGACUGGAGGUAUGCAGGGGAGAACGGAAUUCCUGGUGUAGCGGUGAAAUGCGCAGAUAUCAGGAGGAACACCGGUGGCGAAGGCGGUUCUCUGGGCAUGUCCUGACGCUGAGGAGCGAAAGUGUGGGGAGCGAACAGG
rnacentral:rRNA from 1 species